GGUUAAGCGACUAAGCGUACACGGUGGAUGCCUAGGCAAUCAGAGGCGAUGAAGGACGUGCUAAUCUGCGAUAAGCGUCGGUAAGGUGAUAUGAACCGUUACAACCGACGAUUUCCGAAUGGGGAAACCCAGUGCAAUUCGUUGCACUAUCGUUUGAUGAAUACAUAGUCAAACGAAGCGAACCGGGGGAACUGAAACAUCUCAGUACCCCGAGGAAAAGAAAUCAACCGAGAUUCCCCUAGUAGCGGCGAGCGAACGGGGAGCAGCCCAGAGUCUUAAUCAGCAUUAGCAUCAGGAGAACGGUCUGGAAAGUCCGGCAGUAAAGGGUGAUAGCCCCGUAUC
rnacentral:rRNA from 1 species